UAACUGAAUGUCUCUCCCCACUCUGAAGGGCUCUCCAGGUGCUCACGCUACGCGAUCCUUCUGUGAUGAGCUGCAGGUGACUUUGGAAAGGACCACAGGGCCUUGAUUUUGCCCAUCAAUUCUCCCUCCUGCAUACUGAUCCCAUCCCUAGCUCCAGCUACAGAACUGAGGUUGCUGCAGACCAAGAUUUUAUCCUGUGUGUUGUGAAAUUACUACAUCAGUUGAAGUUGCAGCCUUACCAG